UAUUUACAUUUGUUGGAAACUGCUGGCCGCCGUGUGUCGCUGUUAGGCGCCGCCUAGUGGUUCCGUCGCUCAUACCCGCCUCACUGACUUCUCUUCUAGAGGCUCAGUUUGCGGCAGUUCAAAACGAAAUUUUUCAGCCGGUUAUAACCGGCAAGUUUGUCCUUUUUGUUAUUCAUGAAUGCCGCUUGUUUUCAUUCUUCCUUCCUCGCUCCCAAAAAGAGCGCUUUUCACGUACUACCGAGCUGACACAUGUCGACCCUAGCACGUCUCUUUCGUUCUGUCAUUUUACCAGUUUGCGAGUGACUCGGUGGGAAGGGUGAGCGACUCGUUGUUUGUUGACCCGCCCCAUCCCUGCAGUUGCUAUUUCGCACGUAGUGAUACUCAGCGUCGGCUUUCUAUCACGAUAAAGCCGUGUGGUGCCGGAGCUAAAGAACACUCACGUUUCUUUUAUACUGCUCCGUAGAUGACCUGUAUCGGUCUGCCAGCGACCACUACGGUAAGUGGCGGCAUCCUGGCGCCGGCCGUUCGCGGUCUCGAUAACUGGCUACUAACCGCUGGUGGCUUAUGGUCGAUUUCGGCUCACAAUUGCUAAUGUGAGGUCUUUCAAUUAGUUCCGUCGCUGCUGUCUUCGUCCGCAGCGCCCUCUGUAAACAAAGCCCACAUAGCAGUCAGCUGCAAAUAAAACGAACGGUGGCGCCAGCACUAGCAGUAGCGCCCGGAGCAUAACAGCCUGGGUAAAGACCCCGACCGACUAACUGCGCACUUUCUUCUCGACUAAAUUGGCUGCGCGCUAUUGCCGGUAUAUAGGCUCACGGUGCCACGGGCGUAGAGCAGCAGUAAUACGCUUGUCCGAGUUGGCUGUUUAGCUGGCUACUCAAUGGCAGGGGCUCUACCAGAGGCUGGAAGAUGGAACACAUUAACAGUGUGAGAAGGGACUACCCUCGCUGGCGGAGGCGCCAGCAGCAGUAGCAGCAUCACGGUGACGAGCUUUGCGUCGUUUUUGGCCGGGUACGGCGGUGAGUCAACGAGACGUGUGAUACAAGCCGAUAUACAAACACAGAUAGAGGAACACAUACAUACGAACCAUACAGAGAUGCAGAUAGAUUGCCAGUGAGGAUCAAACAGCGCCUGUUGUCGCGACAUCCGUGUUUCAGUUUGCCGCGAACUAGCAGCGGAUACACACGCGCGUGGCUUGAUACUGUUUAUUGCACUCUUUUUGGACACUAACGACGAGGAAAAAUAAUAGGAAGUCUAACCAGGAGAAGAAACAACGGUUCUUGCGCGAAGCAUCAGGGAGCCAAAGGCUGUCGUGUUGGCUGGUAAGACACGUCGUAUGUGCUUAACUUGUCAGCAGCAAAAGGGAUCCGCUUUUGAGUUCUCGAACAUUCUUGUACAACCUAUUCGCGAGUGCUUACCUAUUGGGCAGAUUAUGUGGAGCUCGCUAGCCGGCGGACUAGAAGACCAGGUCAGCAGUAAGGCUGUCUGUUUAAUUUAACUAUUCGGAAGGACCAUGUUGAUAUGGCAGCAAAAUGCUGGAGGAGUGCUUGGAGCAAAGCUUCACCAGCAAUCGACUAGUGAAGGUGCUAUUCUUGGGAUUCUCGGGCUGAAUGCGGUAAACCGCUUGGCUGGCCGCUUUGCGAGUGCAACGCUUCGAGCAGAACUCAAUGGAAUCAACAAUGUUCUGCAAAGAAACAUUCUAUGCAACGCGUUGGUCAGCCCAAGCCGCAUCCGAUGCCCACCGAUAAAAAACUGACCGGCCAACCGAAAGAGUCACCUCCGCAAAGACGCGAACAAAUGGUUAUACCUGUGUCGAUACCCAUGGCUCACUGGAAAGAGAUAUUUGCGCAAUGAUCAGACGACGGCGCGUUGGCGACAACGACCAGGUUCGAAUUGCGUAGUAUGCGGAAUGUUCUACGAGGAAGCUCUAUGCGACCAAGGCAGCUAUGUCGGUGAGGCUAGCUAUAGCGACAACACAGAAGGUGCACGAGGCAUAUGAAUGCCUUUUCAUCUUAUUAUUGUCGCUGGCUACAAUCACUUUACAUGAAUGAAGCUUCAAAGCGGUUAUCUCCGUCUUUUGAUGAUUUCCGAUAUUUUUAGUUCGUGCAGAGCUGACAUUAUGCUCCUGUACAACGCACUGGCUGUUGUUGAUUUGAUGAUCGAUGCUUAAUACGCGUUAAGCAAGGAAAAAUCGAUUUCACUCAUUGAAGAACAUCGUUUAACAUCCGCCCAACUAUAGACCAUAUUACGUAUUUGUACAAAGAAAAACGUCUUCGUUGUGCGACAAGCCCAAUAUCAACUUAUCGACGUGUACGAAAUCACCUUAACGUGUCGUGAUGUCAAGCCCAAAUAGCGCAAACGAUAUAAAAGGUGGAAUGAUUUCCAGCAUGAUCCGAAGACAUUCUGCCGACGACGCUGCGCGAGGAAGCUUUUUCUUCCGGAGCUUUACCGACACCCGAGAUCGGCAGCGCACUGUAUCUGAAGUCGUCCCGGAACACUCCACAGUGGGUCCCAGCGAGACAUCGCAAAAGGAAAGGCGAAUUUCUGUGAUGUCGCUGAGUCCUAUAUAAACAAAUUAUGGGCACCUUUAAAGACCACCUCUCUACAGUGCCGCGACAUGGACUCAAUCGGCCAACAUCGCUAGCUGCUUCAGGUGACACCGGGCGAGACGGAGCUAUUGUUUGCCACCAUUACCGCCAUUAUACUACCGAACCGGCGAACAUUGCGAUAGGUCUAGAGAUCCUCGACAAAUGACACUCGCGUGCAAACGGUCCAUUCCUUCAUGUCAAAUAAGCGACUCCGAAUUUUCACGUGUCGCAGAAGUUGGAGAUGAUGCCCAGUGAGUGCGAAGGAGAUUUGGAUCAUUAGUGGAGAGGAAACCCUUUGAAAGGAGUAAGAAAAUCGCUACGCUCAUUCCCUAACAAAGACCGCAGUGACAAAAAAAAAAACUCAAGAAAACCCAGAUUAUGUCAAACAGUUGAAAUAUGGCAUGCUAUUGGACUCGACUAUUAUUUGACCCGCAGGUCUAAACAUUUAAAGAAAAUUUUCUCUAGAGGAAGGAAUUAAGCAUGACAUCAUAGUGGUAAUAACUACACUACUUCGACCCCCACCAUUAGCGUUUUCUCUAAUUGGCAAAAAUAUAUUGCCAAAGAUCAGGAAAAGAUGAUAAAAAGAUAAAGUUUUUAACCAGUCAGUAGCCAGUAGGAAUCCGAAGAUAGGAUAAAAGUCGUAGAGCUCAUAUACAACUGAAGCAUAAUGAUUAUAAAUGUGAUAAUAGCACCUUCGGGUGAGAUGGCCUUAAUACCUAUCGGUGUUACAAAGCUGUGGAAAAAUUGUACAGCGAAAACAGACAAAAGGGAACAGAUGGAAGAAGCUUGUUCAUAUCAUAAAGCAGCAUAAUACCUAUUUUCCCACACACACUUGAUAACAUGGUGCAAAUGACGAAAACAACCAUGUCUUACCGAGGUCGUCGAUAGGAAUCGUCUUGAACAAAUUGAUGAGAAAAUGGGGUUCUUCCUGUAUCUUGACUGGAGUACAGAUUAUAAAAAAAAAAAACAAUUCUGUUGAUGACACUUAAAUUAGUCGAUGGCUUACCUGAUAAGUAACGUAGUCCAGCCGAUAGCGGUUAUCUAAAGUGCAUCACAAAUAACUUCAAAUACAGUUGCAGCGCUUUUGCGAUUGUUCCCGCUAGAUGCCUGUCUAACCAUUGUUAGCGUCAGUUGAUCACAUUCUCACUCAACCUAAAAUAGUAUUGCAUGUUGCAUACACAAGUAAUCCCUAUCCUGUGUAAAGAUAGAGUGGUUUGCUUGGCCAUAGUUUCUGACCAGCAAAAGGAGAUCCAUGUAUAUAUAUAUAUGUAUUUAUACAUAUAUCAUUAGAUUACUUAACAGGAGGUAGCCAACGGUAAAUAUGAGAUGAGGUGUCGUCGUGCGAGAACGGCGGUGGAUGACAUGCAGAUCGUCUGAAUCGAACUCUUCUAGAUAACGUUGUAGCUUAACCAUACCACCGUACGCCUAAAUAUAUACAAACACUAUUUAUUUUUGGAAGGCAAUUGAUAACGGAAAGUGAAGCUGAUUUCUGAGCACUAUUUCUGAGCACUGUUCGUCGUCGCAAAACAUGGUCUGCGGGUGCUUCCGAAAGAUUGAUUCCUUCAAAUUCAGUGACCCGGUGCAACGCGCCGAACGGUAGGCAGAAAACAGUAAUAAAACAGAUACCCUUUCCCAUUGACUCAUGGAAAGGGAUACAAGAUUUGCUCGAAUGUUAAGACAAAAACCUACAUGAUAUUUUUAAAACAAUGUGUGUAAACUAACAGGAAAUAGGCUAAAGCAAACGGCUCCAAGGAAGAUAGAAAGUUGAUGGGUAAUUAGAAAUCUUAACCAUGGAUGUCUGUACGACGGGCACGUCCAUUGUGCCCGUUUUCUCGAAAGAGAUCGAUCGAUUGAUUUUUCGAGAGAAAUCAGUUCAAAAAAAAAAACAGUCGAUAACUUAAGGACAUACAGCUUAGGGAAAAAUACAUUUUCUAAUAAGAUCAGAUAAGUAGAGAGAGAGAGAAGCUGAAACACCGUAUAACAUGUUAGAUAGUUGGGCAAAGGUACGAUACAAACCGAUAAGUGUGGUUUCAUGAUUGCUUCAACAACAAGUUAGUGCUCUACGCAAAUGAUACUAAUAAAAAAAAAGGCGCGUAAAGCGAUUGGUGGA